rnacentral:rRNA from 1 species
UGGGGGAUAUUGCACAAUGGGCGAAAGCCUGAUGCAGCGACGCCGCGUGGGGGAUGAAGGCUUUCGGGUGGUAAACCUCUUUCGCUAUCGAACAAGGCCCGCUUAGGGUGGGUUGAGGGUAGGUGGAGAAGAAGCGCCGGCUAACUACGUGCCAGCAGCCGCGGUAAUACGUAGGGCGCGAGCGUUGUCCGGAAUUAUUGGGCGUAAAGGGCUUGUAGGCGGCUUGUUGCGCCUGCUGUGAAAACGCGGGGCUUAACUGUGCGCAUGCAGUGGGUACGGGCAGGCUUGAGUGUGGUAGGGGUGACUGGAAUUCCAGGUGUAGCGGUGGAAUGCGCAGAUAUCUGGAGGACCACCGAUGGCGAAGGCAGGUCACUGGGCCAUUACUGACGCUGAGGAGCGAAAGCAUGGGUAGCGAACAGG